rnacentral:rRNA from 1 species
GACAGAGGGUGCAAACGUUGUUCGGAAUUACUGGGCGUAAAGCGCGUGUAGGCUGUCUCGAAAGUCGGAUGUGAAAGCCCUGGGCUCAACCUAGGAAGUGCAUUCGAAACUUCGAGACUCGAGUCCUGGAGAGGAUCGCGGAAUUCUCGGUGUAGAGGUGAAAUUCGUAGAUAUCGAGAGGAACACCAGUGGCGAAGGCGGCUCACUGGUCCGGUACUGACGCUGAGGUGCGAAAGCGUGGGGAGCAAACAGG